rnacentral:rRNA from 1 species
CAGCAGCCACGGGAAUAGGAAGGGGGCUAGCGUUGCUCGGAAUGACUGGGCGUAAAGGGCGCGUAGGCGGUGCGGAUAGUCAGAUGUGAAAUUCCUGGGCUUAACCUGGGGGCUGCAUUUGAUACGUGUGGGCUAGAGUGUGAAAGAGGGUCGUGGAAUUCCCAGUGUAGAGGUGAAAUUCGUAGAUAUUGGGAAGAACACCGGUGGCGAAGGCGGCGACCUGGUUCAUGACUGACGCUGAGGCGCGAAAGCGUGGGGAGCAAACAGGAUUAGAUACCCGCGUAGUCCCUGUCUCUUAUAC